rnacentral:lncRNA from 1 species
CCUUCCUGGUGCGGUGGCAGAGGCGGCAUCGCAGUUGCAUUCCUUCUCCCUCCACCAUGCACAGCCUUCGGUAUCCCAGGGCCUGCAGGAUCCUGACACCCGUUAGCCAGUCCAGUGUCUCCCAUCUGACACUUGCAAACACACUAACAGAAAUACACAUAACUGGCAGAUGAUAUACGUGUAUUGAGAGAAGGUAAGAAGCCACAGACAGCACCAGCUGCCGGGAAGGCGGCAGAGCCGUCUAAAGCGGGCUCGAGCUCGUCGGCCACGGCCACGGCCGCUGCCGCCUUCUCUUCUCCCCCAGGAAGCAGCGCGGCGGCAGCGGCUCCUCCGCGCUGGCGGGAGCCUAGGGGAGUGGAGUCUGGGGAAGCCCCACCACUCGCGGAUGGGACCGGGCCUAGGAUCUGGAGCUGCUGCUGCUGCAGCGGCCCGAGUACAGCGACGCUUUACGUCCGGUCCACCACCACCCCCAUACACACCCCCUCCCUCCCUCCACCGCCGCCACCCCCCUCCCCGCCCGCUCCGCUCUCCGUCUCUCGAUUGGAGCCGAGACAAAAGCAACGGGAAGCGGUGGGCCGGGACGCUACCGGCGGACCCUGGGCGCGACCGGACCGGCCCCGGGGCAUUCCCCCGCCUUGCGGGGGCCCCGAAUCUGCCGCCCCCGCCGCGCGCCCCGCUGCCAGACUUCCGAAAAUUUACCAAAAACUCACCGCAUGAAUUUUCUUGUCCCGCGGAUCCAAGAUGGCGACGUAUCCACCGCGGAGGCUGCUGGGAGCAAGACCUUUACCCUCUGACCGCCGCCGUGACCCCCGUCGCUCCGGCUUCCCUCCAGGCGGCAGCGGAAGCUCCCGCAACCUCCGGAGCUUGUGCGCGUACUUCAGGGACCGGCACCACGUCACCGUCACCUCCUGAGUAGUGAGUUCCCCUCUGAUGAAACCACUGGUGUGUUUACUCACCAUCCCCACCAUUUUUUUUUCCCCAACCUGAUGGAAGGAAGUACAUAAUGGAGAGCAAGUUUUUAAAGCACGGUCGUGUCGUGUGAACUUGCUCUAGCCAAAUUAGGUUUAUAGCACUUUUUUUGGCUCUCAUUACCUCCAGUCCCCACAUAAACAAGAGUGACCAGCUGGGUCAUCCGCAAGACCGUUUGAAAUUAUUGUGGCUUGGGUGGAAACUUAAAGGAGUGAAGUAUCUGCUUUCCAGAAAAAUCGUUGUCAUUCAAAGUGAAAUUAAACUUGUUUUCUUUGCAAUAAUUCGCCUUUAUUUCCUUGUAUAUCUGUAAACUCUUCACUUUUUUGUAAUUACUAGACAAUUCGGACUUAAAAAGAGCCUCAGCAUGUGUAUUUUGGAAUUGUGUAGCUUCAUAAUGUGAAAAUUAUUCUUUUCUAUUUGAGUAAAGUACAGUUAAUUUGAAGUAAAUAAAAUUUCUAUUUCCAUUGGUUGUUUCUUUUAAAAAGUCACCUUUUACUUACAAAAGAAUCACUGUAAUCCAGUUUACAUUUAUCAUUGAAGGUCAAAAGCAAGAAAUAGGAAGAAACACAAGCAUACUAUAAAAUAAAAGGUAACUGUCAUGUUUUUGAAGGUAAGGUGUUUUGACAUAUCAGCAGACAUUGUGUGAAUUUAUUUCAACUCCUAGUGGUACUGGUGUAGGUAGAAAAUGUUUUGCUUGGUUAUUCAUUUCAUCAAACACUCUACUUCACUGUUUUUUUUUCACUUCAGGAAAAUUCGAGGAGGAACAACACAUACUAGUGUCUUUCCUUUCUUUCUCCCCGUCUUCUGCAAAUAGUCCCUUCCUCUUCCUGCUUUCUCCUCCUUCUCAUGUUAACAUCUUCAACCAUAAGAUGGUGUGUUAAAAGAUUGAAUAUACCUCUAUGGAAUGACUUCCAGAGGGUGUAAGUCUGAUAUGAGAGUUUUAUUACCUUGAGUAUUUUACUGGAAGAGAUAGAACAACAAACAUUUUCAUAAUAAAUGUGUGGGUUAGGAGUGUUAGGAGAAAAUACACUGAUACUAUUACUUUCAAUAUUUGAUACUACUUACUUUGACUCUCACUGAACACCUAUUUGUUUAGGAUGAAUUCACUUUAAGCCGGGUUGAAGAACAAGCCUUUAAUUGUCCUAUUAUUUGUGCCAAAUCUAUUAUAAAUUUGUUAAAAAAUUUUUAAUACCUACCUUAGAGGGUACUCUAGGUAUUUAAUGAGCUAGCAUUUGUUAAAGGCUUGUAUAGUAAGAAUUCUUAUAGUAAGAGUUCUUACCAAUAGAUGGUAUAUUUUUUAAAUUGUCCUGUUGCAUCAAAAAGUUCAUCUUUAUUGGUAAUGUUGAUUAAGUUUGCCCAUUUGGUAGUUUGGUUUCUUUUAACUAUCUUACUAGAUUUUCUUACUUUUACCUGAAAAGUAGUCCUUACUAAUAGGCACAUGUUUUGUAUAUUUCCAAAAUAUGUAUUAUGUUAAAUUCUCUGUACACUUUAUUUAAAAAUUACAGACGUUGAGGGAAAAAAAAUACCCUAUUAAGGGAAGAAUGAGUUUGUGUAUAACUUGUAGAAGAAGGAGGCCACCCAUUUUUAGAAAAAUAUGGAUGGUAUUGAAAAUUUUGCCAUGGCAAGGGAUAAAAAGGACAGGCUUCUCUAAUGUGUCUGAAACAACAUUUGAAUCCCCUUUGUUCAUUCCCUAAAUCUGCUGCUCCUUUAGAAUUCCUGAUUUUCAUAAAUAGUACCACCAUUCACUUAUUUGCUCAGGCAUAAAACUUGGAAUUUUCUGAUUCUUCACACUCAUACAACUCAUCAGACAGUACCAUCAGUUCUUCCUGACAAAUACAUUCUGAAUUUAGCUACUUAUCACUUCCACUGGUACAACCCUUGGGAGCCACCAUCAUCUGUUGCUGGACCACAGCAAUAACCACACUAGUUGCUAUCACUUUCUAUCUGUACCCUCAUGAAUAUUUUCCCAUUUAAACCAUUCUCUAUAUACCAACCAAAGCAAUCACUUAAAAAAUGUUAUUAGGUUAUGUCACUCCCUUGUUUAAAACCCUCCAAUAGCUUCCUUAUGCACACAGAAUGAAAUCGGAAUUCCUUACCAUAGCCUUCAAGACUGCAUAAUCUGGCUCCUGCCCACUUCUCCAUCUUCCCAGGAAGCAGCACAGGAAGUUGUUCUCACCCUUCUUACUGCCUCCUUUCUGUCGUGGGCUGUGCUUUUUCUAGUCUGUAGCAGAGUCUGUUAGUUGUCCCCAAAAAUUCCUCCAUUUUUUUCAUAGUAAUAGACAUGGAUACAUGGCUACCCAGAACAAAGACUAUAUUUUGCAGCCUUCCUUGUAGCCAUGUAAUAGUGCUGGCUGAUGGGAUGUAAGCAGUAUAUCAUGUGGCACACUUGUAAAACCAUCCUUAAAAGAUAGUUGGUGCACACCUUCAAUGCGGCUUUUCCUUUAUCCUGUACCGUGGAAUAUAGAUGUGAUGGCUUAGAACUGUAGCUGCCAAUUUGUGCCUCAUGCAAGUUCUCUCAUUCUAGGGAUGGCAAAACUAAACUGGUGGAAACCAGGGUCUGUGAGAACUUUAUGGAUCAGAGCACCAUGCUAGCCCUGCAGUCGUAAAUGUCUAUAUUAUUAAAGCCACUAUUUUGGAGUCUCUUGUUCUCAACUGAAUUUAAUCUUACCUGAUACUCUGUCUCAGGGCCUUUGCACUUGCUUUUUAUUUUUUAUUUAUUUAUUUUUUUUCUGCCUGGGAUGUGGUCUUCUGUCUUGGAUAUGGCUGACUCAUUCUCUUCCUUCAGGUUAACCCAAAUAUCUCUGACAGGCCUUCCCUGGCCACCGUAUCUAAAAUAGCUCACGUUCCCAUUUAUUCUCUGUCAAUCACGUGCCCCUCUAUUUUCUUAAUAGCAUUUAUAAUUUAUCAUUAUCUUGUUUAUUCACUGUUUAUUUUCUACCUCCCUUCACCCUACAAAAAUAUAAACUACACCUGUUUUUUUCCACUACUUUAUCCUUCACACAUGGUAGGCAUUAGAUAAAUGCUGUUAAAUUAGUGAGUGAAUGAAUCAACAAAAUUCUUAUCCAAGAUUAGCUAGACUUUUUAAAUAAUAAAUGAGUAAAUGUCAACAGAUAUCCUUAACACAAAAUUUGUAAAAUCCAAUCUAGGAAACAGGAAAAACAGUACUAAACUAAUAGGAUAUUCCUGACCUCCAACUUAAUAAAGAAGAUGUCUACCUUUUUCUGGGAAAUCUGUAAGGCUAGUACAAGUUAAAAAAAAAAAGACUGCACUGCAGUAUAUCCAGGGCUAAAAUUCACACUAAAAGGGGUCUGAAUUAUAAUUUACUAGACCUCAGUUUCUUCAUCUUAAAUAUGUGUAAGCUUUGAAUGGUAAUACUAUAACAGUUAAAAGUUUAAUAGUAAGCCCAACUUAUGAGUGACAAAACAUGUUAAACAUUAAUUUAGUCUUCAGGCACUAUUUUAACAAGUGGUUAUUUCUUGAUAAUACUGGCAAGGAUUCAGAGAAACAGGGCUGCUUAUAUUGCUGAGAGUGUAUGUUGGCAGCACUUUUCUAGAGUGCAGUUUGGCAAUAUGUAUCAAAAGCCUUGAGCCAUGUGCAUUUGACCCAGCGAUUCUUUUAGAAAUGUGUCAUAAGCAGGCUGGGUGCAGUGGCUCAUGCCUGUAAUCCCAGCACUUUGGGAGGCCAAGGCGGGUGGAUCACCUGAGGCCAGGAGUUUGAGACCAGCCUGGCCAACAUGGUGAAACCCCGUCUCUACUAAAUACAAACAAAUUAGCUAGGUGUGGUGGUGCACGCCUGUAGUCCCAGCUACUUGGAGGCUGAGGCAGGAGAAUCGCUUGAACCCGGAAGGCGGAGGUUGCGGUGAGCUGAGAUCAUGCCACUGCACUCCAGCUUGGGUGACAGAGCAAGACUCUGUCCAAAAGAAAAGGCCAGGCACGGUGGCUCAGAGAGCCACCUGUAAUGCCAGCACUUUGGGAGUCUGAGGUGGGGUUGGAUCACCUGAGGGCACAAGUUGAAGACCAGCCUGGCCAACAUGGUGAGACCCCAUCUCUACUAAAAAUACAAAAAUUAGCUGGGCAUGCUGGCGGGUGCCUGUAGUUUCAGCUAUUGGGAAGGCUGAGAUGGGAGAAUCACUUGAGCCCAGGAGGCAGAGGUUGUAGUGAGCCGAGAUUGUGCCACUGCAUUCCAGCCUAGGUGACAGAGCGAGACUCCGUCUCAAAAAAAAAAAAAAAAAAGAGAAAUGUAUUAUAAGCAAAUAAGGGUGUGUUUAACAAGUUAAUUGCAAGAGUAUUCUUUACUGCAUCAUUUAUUAGGAGAUUGGUUAAGCAACAUCCAUACAGUGAACAGUAUUCAGCCAUUUGAAAUGAUGUGGAGGAAAUUUUAUUGACAUGAUACAUUGUUAAGAGCAAAAGAAAAAGUUUUAAAAUACAAAUGUUUAAUUUGUAAGUCUCACAAACAUCAUCUAACGAAAUAUACACGAGGUGUUAAGUCAGCCUUGCAAACGUAACUAUUUUUUCAUUAUUUUUAUAUCAGUUACUGUUAUUGGAGCAUUUUAUAUUGACUGAGGAUCUUUAUUAAAACUUCUUCAGCCUUCUGUGAAAUCUUGUUAUGAUGGCUAUAGUGACACUAUAUAAAACACAUAACCAGAAUAUGUUUAUGCUCAAAUAUUUCAAGCAAUAUUUGAUGCUUAAAAUACCAAAGUGACAAUGAAAAUGAAAGAAAUUUGGAUAGUUCCUUAGAGUUAUUUGUUUGUGUUUCAGAUAUGAACAUAAAGUAUGUUUUUAAUAUUACCAGUUUUGAGAAUAAUAGAAUAAAUGCCUUCUCACCUUAAUAAGAUGUUCUGUUCUGACUCAGUAUUCAUUUGCCAUUUAUUUUUCAAAUGUAGCUGAAAUCUCAGUCAUGUUCCAGGCACUAUGUUUUGUCUCUGAGAGAGGAAAAACCAAACUUUUUCCCUGUUCUCAAAUACUACUCAAUACAAUACUUCUGCAACAAGAUGGGGUGGGAUAGCGGUCCCCCCUCACCCCCGCCCACAUCAAACCAUCAAUUUUCUAGCAGACAUCAGCUGGGUGUCUCAAUUCUAUUCAGUUCUGACACUAUCUACCUGGAGGCAGCAUCAGAUCGAACAGAUUGAGGGCUCGGUUCUGCAAGACUGCCCCCACCACUUCCAGUACCAGCCACAAGUAGUAGGUUGUCACCGAUACUCCUGACCAAGCUGUAAAUCAGGAUUCCCAUGAUCCCUUCCUCAGGUUCAAUUAGUUCACUAGAGUGGCUCACAGAAGUCGGAGAAACACUUUACUAGCAUUUACCCAUUUAUUAUAAAGGAUAUUACAAAGCAUACAGGUGAACAGCUGGAUGGAAGAGGAAUCUGCACACCUUUUCUCCCAUACCUUGCCCUAUGUAUAGGUAGGGAGAAGAGGUGUGGCAAUUCCAUGCCUUCUCCAGGCAGGCCAGCUUCCAGGAACCUCCUAGUGUUCAGCUAUCAGGAAGCUCUCUGAACCCUGCCUGUCCUUUUGGGCUUUUAUGGAUACUUCAUUAUGUAGGCAUGAUUGAUUACAUUAUUGGUCACUGGUGAGCAAAUAACCUUUAACCCCCUCUCCCCUCCCUGGAGGUGAGGAGCCAGGUUAAAGUUCCAACUCCCUAAUCACAUGGUUGGCUUCCCUGGCAACCAGCUCCCAUCCUGAGGCUACCCAGGAGCCCAUCAAGAGUUACCUCAUUAGAACAAAAGAUUCUCCUAUCGUCCAGGAAAUUCCAAGGGGCUUAGGAGCUCUGUCAGGAACCAAGGGUCAAAGACUGAAUAGAAUAAGAUUCUCCUAGUGCCCUUUAUCUAGAAGUUUUAGGACCUCUGGGCUAGGAAACAGAGACGAAAACUAAAACGUGCAUACAGAAGAUAGAUCUAUAUAUAUAAUAUUAUAAAUCACAUCACCUUGUCAUUUAGUUCUCAAGAAAACUAUGUGAUGUCAGAAUAAUAGUAUAAUUUUUUCCAUUUUCUUGUAUGCUACAUGUAUGUAGCAGAUAUCAUUUAAAUUGGUGAACCACAUUUCCCCCCCUUUAAAUAUCCUUGUCCAUAUAUUGAAUCUCUCUAAUACUCAUCACCUUUGGAAUUGAUCAUGGCAGUAUUAAAGGCACUUCUAUUCUGAACUGAACAUUAAAGAUGCUAUUACCCCUCCAGUGCUUUUGUGGGUCACUAUCAUCUAUAAAAAAUAUCCUAAAAGGAGAAGCCAAAUAAAUGAGGUAAUCAGUGGAAAGAAUAUAAGAUCCUUGGAAUCUAAAAAAUGGCUGUAACCAAUCAGCAUAAUAAAACCUCUAACAAUAGAAAAAUAGUUAACCACUUAGUUUAGCAUCUGCUAAAUGGCAAGCACCAUAAUUACAUGAUUUCACUCAAUCUGUGUAACAUUUCUGUGUGAUAGGUGGUAUUUGCAUUUUACAGAUGAGGAAAUGGAGGCUUUAAGAGAGGUUGCUAGAUAUAUCUAGAAAACCCCAUUGUCUCAGCCCAAAAUCUCCUUAAGCUGAUAGGCAACUUGCGCAAAGUCUCAGGAUACAAGAUCAAUGUGCAAAAAUCACAAGCAUUCUUAUACACCAAUAACAGAGAGCCAAAUCAUGAGUGAACUCCCAUUCACAAUUGCUUCAAAGAGAAUAAAAUACCUAGGAAUCCAACUUACAAGGGAUGUGAAGGACCUCUUCAAGGAGAACUACAAACCACUGCUCAAUGAAAUAAAAGAGGAUACAAACAAAUGGAAGAACAUUCCAUGCUCAUACGUAGGAAGAAUCAAUAUCGUGAAAAUGGCCAUACUGCCCAAGGUAACUUAUAGAUUCAGUGCCAUCCCCAUCAAGCUACCAAUGACUUUCUUCACAGAAUUGGAAAAAACUACUUUAAAGUUCAUAUGGAACCAAAAAAAGAGCCCACAUCGCCAAGUCAAUCCUAAGCCAAAAGAACAAAGCUGGAGGCAUCAAGCUACCUGACUUCAAACUAUGCUACAAGGCUACAGUAACCAAAACAGCAUGGUACUGGUACCAAAACAGAGAUGUAGACCAAUGGAACAGAACAGAGCCCUCAGAAAUAAUGCUGCAUAUCUACAACCAUCUGAUCUUUGACAAACCUGACAAAAACAAGCAAUGGGGAAAGGAUUCCCUAUUUAAUAAAUGGUGCUGGGAAAACUGGCUAGCCAUAUGUUGAAAGCUGAAACUGGAUCACUUCCUUACACCUUAUACAAAAAUUAAUUCAAGAUAGAUUAAAGACUUAAACGUUAGACCUAAAACCAUAAAAACCCUAGAAGAAAACCGAGGCAAUACUAUUCAGGACAUAGGCAUGGGCAAGGACUUCAUGUCUAAAACACCAAAAGCAAUGGCAACAAAAGCCAAAAUUGACAAAUGGGAUCUAAUUAAAGAGCUUCUGCACAGCAAAAGAAACUACCAUCAGAGUGAAAAGGCAACCGACAGAAUAGGAGAAAAUCUACUGCAAUCUACUCAUCUGACAAAGGGCUACAAUGAACUACAAUGUAGAUCCAGAAUCUACAAUGAACUCAAACAAAUUUACAAGAAAAAAACAACCCCAUCAAAAAGUGGGCAAAGGAUAUGAACAGACACUUCUCAAAAGAAGACAUUUAUGCAGCCAAAAGACACGUGAAAAAAUGCUUAUCAUCACUGGCCAUCAGAGAA